ACUCCUACGGGAGGCAGCAGUGGGAAUAUUGGGCAAUGGGCGCAAGCCUGACCCAGCCAUGCCGCGUGUGUGAAGAAGGCCCUAGGGUUGUAAAGCACUUUAAGCGGGAGGAAAGGAUGUGCGUUAAUAGCGUACAUCUGUGACGUUACCCGCAGAAUAAGCACCGGCUAACUCCGUGCCAGCAGCCGCGGUAAUACGGAGGGUGCAAGCGUUAAUCGGAAUUACUGGGCGUAAAGCGCGCGUAGGCGGUUUGUUAAGCGAGAUGUGAAAGCCCCGGGCUUAACCUGGGAACUGCAUUUCGAACUGGCAAGCUAGAGUACAAGAGAGGGUGGUGGAAUUUCCAGUGUAGCGGUGAAAUGCGUAGAGAUUGGAAGGAACAUCAGUGGCGAAGGCGGACCACCUGGCUUGAUACUGACGCUGAGGUGCGAAAGCGUGGGG
rnacentral:rRNA from 1 species